UCCUCUCUUCCGUUCCAGUGCACGAUAGCACCCACGAUUGCCUCUUAAUACAAGCAUCAGGAUUUAAAUGGGGAAAAAAACUUGGCACAAAUCACAAAAAAAUAACACGAAAAUGUUAAAACCUACUUGAAUCUCACAUUAGAAGCUUUCACAGCAAUAACAUUCAAACCCCAAUUCACUAAACAAAUAACCACACAAAAAAAAAACAGUUUAAUUAACAAAACCUAUGAAAUUAAACACGGAACGAAAGCAACUGAGACGCAAAUACUUAACAAUACGAAAAGAAGAAGAAAACCCAACAAUUCGAAGAGGAAUUAGGGCUUACGUCGAGAACAUCAAGGAGGUCAGGGACGGAAGACGGAGGUUCCAAGAGCUGAUUCCCAGCUUCCGUAAGCUGUGCUUCGAGCUCUUUCUCUGCCAAUGCCAUUGUUCCUCCUUUCUCCUGGGUUGUCCGGUCUUGGGUCGAAAACUGGACAAGAGCAGGGAUUUGAGGCCGUUGAGGGUCAUGAGGGAGAUUUGGGGAACGGCAGAGUUGAUGAGUAGAUUGUGGAGGAGUUUCAGUGAUUUGCUGGAGUGAGGGGACGACAGUAGUGCUGAUUGAGGCGUGGGGGGAGAGAUACUUGGAGCUGAGCAAGGAGAGAAGGGAGGGAUGGGGUCGUUGGGUAAGCAGCAAGGGCGGAGCAGAGAGGGAAAACAGAAAAAAGGGGUUGGUCGCUGGAUUGGGUGGGGAAGAAGAAACAGAGAUAUGAACCCAGAUUGGCUUUUUAGGUUUAGGUUUGGUUUUUUAAUUUUUUUU
rnacentral:lncRNA from 1 species